rnacentral:rRNA from 1 species
UAGUCCACGCCGUAAACGAUGAGAACUAGAUGUUGGGAGGGUUGCCUCUCGGUGUCGCAGCUAACGCGUUAAGUUCUCCGCCUGGGGAGUACGCCGGCAACGGUAAAACUCAAAGGAAUUGACGGGGACCCGCACAAGCGGUGGAGCAUGUGGUUUAAUUCGAUGCAACGCGAAGAACCUUACCUGCCCUUGACAUACUCGGAACUUUCCAGAGAUGGAUUGGUGCCUUCGGGAAUCGAGAUGCAGGUGCUGCAUGGCUGUCGUCAGCUCGUGUCGUGAGAUGUUGGGUUAAGUCCCGCAACGAGCGCAACCCUUGUCCUUAGUUGCCAGCACGUAAUGGUGGGAACUCUAGGGAGACUGCCGGUGACAAACCGGGNGGAAGGUGGGGAUGGACGUCAAAUCAUCACGGCCCUUACGUCCUGGGGCUACACACGUGCUACAAUGGGUAUAUACAGAGGGGCAGGCCACCU